rnacentral:rRNA from 1 species
GACGUAGGGCGCGAGCGUGUCCGGAUUUAUUGGGCGUAAGAGCUCGUAGGCGGUGUGUCGCGUCGGCCCGUGAAAACCUGCAGCUUAACUGUGGGCUUGCGGUCGGAUACGGGCAUCACUGGAGUUCGGCAGGGGAGACUGGAAUUCCGUGGUGAUAGCGGUGAAAUGCGCAGAUAUCAGGAGGAACGCCGGUGGCGAAGGCGGGGUC